rnacentral:rRNA from 1 species
CUGGGUUUGACAUCCCGCGAAUCCCUAUGAAAUUAGGGAGUGCCCUUCGGGGAACGCGGAGACAGGUGCUGCAUGGCUGUCGUCAGCUCGUGCCGUGAGGUGUUGGGUUAAGUCCCGCAACGAGCGCAACCCUUGUUGCCAGUUGCUACCAGGUAAUGCUGGGCACUCUGGCGAGACUGCCCGGGUCAACCGGGAGGAAGGUGGGGACGACGUCAAGUCAUCAUGGCCCUUACAUCCAGGGCUACACACGUACUACAAUGGCAGGUACAAAGGGUUGCCAAGCCGCGAGGCCGCGCCAAUCCCAGAAAGCCUGUCUCAGUCCGGAUUGCAGUCUGCAACUCGACUGCAUGAAGCUGGAAUCGCUAGUAAUCCCGGAUCAGCAUGCCGGGGUGAAUACGUUCCC